UACAGAGGGGGCAAGCGUUGUUCGGAAUUACUGGGCGUAAAGGGCGCGUAGGCGGCCUUCUAAGUCGAACGUGAAAUCCCCGGGCUCAACCCGGAAACUGCGUCCGAUACUGGAAGGCUUGAAUCCGGGAGAGGGAUGCGGAAUUCCAGGUGUAGCGGUGAAAUGCGUAGAUAUCUGGAGGAACACCGGUGGCGAAGGCGGCAUCCUGGACCGGCAUUGACGCUGAGGCGCGAAAGCCAGGGGAGCAAACGGG
rnacentral:rRNA from 1 species